rnacentral:rRNA from 1 species
UACGUAGGGUCCGAGCGUUGUCCGGAAUUACUGGGCGUAAAGAGCUCGUAGGUGGUUUGUCGCGUUGUUCGUGAAAACUCACAGCUUAAACUGUGGGCGUGCGGGCGAUACGGGCAGACUUGAGUACUGCAGGGGAGACUGGAAUUCCUGGUGUAGCGGUGGAAUGCGCAGAUAUCAGGAGGAACACCGGUGGCGAAGGCGGGUCUCUGGGCAGUAACUGACGCUGGAGGGAGCGAAAGCGUUGGGGAGCGAACAGGA